rnacentral:misc_RNA from 1 species
GAGCGGGUCUCCCGAAAGUGGGAGCGGCCUCUGCGAGGAAAUCAGUCCACCGGGCCGAUUUCUGAUCCCGUUUCGAUGCGUUGGAAAAUGCUCUAAAUGAUGCG